ensembl:snoRNA SNORD15 Small nucleolar RNA SNORD15
CUUCAGUGAUGACAAGAUGACGAGUCAGAAAGGACACAUCCUGCUCUGAGUCCCCUGGCACUGGCAUGUUCUUUGUCGCUGCACGUGGGGCCUUUGGCAUAAGUGUCUUCUCUGUGGUUGACUUAGAGGCAUUUGUCUGAGAAGG